rnacentral:lncRNA from 1 species
UUAAGAAAGUUUAUUUUGGCCAAAGUUAAGGAUGUGUGUCCGUGAUGCAGCCUCAGGAGGUCCUGAAGACAUGUGCCCAAGGUGGUCGGGCACAGCUUGGUUUUAUACAUUUUAGGGAGAUAUGAGACGUCGAUCAAUAUAUGUAAGGUAUACAUUGGUUCCGUCUAGAAAGGUGGGACAACUCGAAGCAGGGAGGGGACUUCCGGGUCAUAGGUCGAUAAGAGACAAACGGUUGCAUUCUUUUGAGUUUCUGAUUGGCCUUUCCAAAGGAGGCAGUCAGAGAUGCAUCUAUCUCAGUGACCAGAGGGGUGGCUUUGAGUUCUGCCAGUUGUCCACAAGGAAUUUCCUUGUGAGGGAGGUAUGUAGCUUUUUAAUCUUAGUAGCUAUCUUUUUUAGGAAUAGAAUGGGAGGCAGGUUUGCCUGAUGCAGUUCCCAGCUUGACUUUCCCCUUUGGCUUAGUGAUUUUGGGGUCCCGAGAUUUAUUUUCCUUUCACACAAGUAAACCCAAAAGUUGAGUUUUUACAAGAUCAACCAAAAUAUUAAGAACCUGAGAAAAGUCUAAACAUACACUUUCGUUUCUCUGAAUCCUUAAUUCUGCUAUAGUCAAAACUGUGAUGUGUCCCUUUAACUAGAAAAUGAAAGCCAAAUCCAUGGGAUUUAUGCAAGCUGGAUUUCUGAAAAGUUUAUUGCUGUCUGGGAAUGGGACAACAAGCUAGGAAAUUAACAUAUCUCUCCUCAUUCUGUGUUGAGUGGAUGUUAAGGCAAGUUUACCAAUAUGCGCCAAGCUCUGCCCAGGGCGUUAGGGUAUUAGGGCCACAGAGCUAAGACCCCAAAGAGCCCAGGAUCCAGUGGAAGGGCUCAGAGGCGGUGGACAGCGCCUUGCACCACGCACUAAACAUGGGUCUGCUGGGGCCUCAGGACGGAGCAGCCAGGCUCCACCUUGGGGUGUGGGGAGGCCGGUUUGGUGAAAAGACACCCAGACCCUUCUGACUCUCAUCCAAGGAAGAAGGAAAACUCUUUAAAAAGGCAGUGAGGGCCGGGCGCACGGCUCAUGCCUGUAAUCCCUGCACUUUGGGAGGCCCGAAGUGGAAGGAUCACUUGAGGCCAGGAGUUCAAGGCUGCAGUGAGCCAUGAUCCCACCAGUGGACUCCAGCCUGGGUGACAGAGAGAGACCCUGCCUCAAAAAAAACAAAAACAAACAAACAAAACAAAACAAAACAAAAAAAAACACCUUUUCAAAUAAUAAUAAGUAAAUAAAAUGGCUGAGGGGGCUCAGGUCCCCCUGCGUGAGAGGAAGGGGCUUUAAGCGUCCAGCGGGGGUCGCUGCAUUAUCACGAAGGAUCCUCCUCUUCUAGUGUGGAAGGCCCUUUUAAAUUUUCAUUUAUAUUUUAUUUAUUUUGCAACGGUGUUUCACUCUGAUGCGCAGGCUGGAGAGCAGUGACUCCGUCUCAAAAAAAAAAAAAAAAAAAGUAAACUCGCGUGCCCGAGAAGCCCUCUAGGAGGGAAACACCCAGAAGAGGUCACCCUCCAAACACACAGUAGAAAAAUGGUGACGCACGGAGGUAAGGGGAAGGCGGGAACGAGCGAGAGCGUGCGGGCUUGUGCCCGCGCGUGCCUGCGUGCGCGUCCGUGCGGCCGCGACGGUGCCCCCGGCGCCUC